rnacentral:rRNA from 1 species
UACAGAGGUCUCAAGCGUUGUUCGGAUUCAUUGGGCGUAAAGGGUGCGUAGGUGGCGCCGUAAGUCAGGUGUGAAAUUUCGGAGCUUAACUCCGAAACUGCAUUUGAUACUGCGGUGCUUGAGGACUGGAGAGGAGACUGGAAUUCAUCGGUGUAGCAGUGAAAUGCGUAGAGAUCGAUGAGGAAGACCAGUGGCGAAGGCGGGUCUCUGGACAGUUCCUGACACUGAGGCACGAAGGCCAGGGGAGCAAACGGGG